rnacentral:rRNA from 1 species
UACGUAGGGGGCUAGCGUUGUCCGGAUUUAUUGGGCGUAAAGAGCGUGUAGGCGGCCAGGUAGGUCUGCUGUGAAAACUCGAGGCUCAACCUCGAGACGUCGGCGGAAACCAUCUGGCUAGAGUCCGGAAGAGGAGAGUGGAAUUCCUGGUGUAGCGGUGAAAUGCGCAGAUAUCAGGAAGAACACCCGUGGCGAAGGCGGCUCACUGGUCCGGUACUGACGCUGAGGUGCGAAAGCGUGGGGAGCAAACAGG